rnacentral:rRNA from 1 species
CCUACGGGAGGCAGCAGUGGGGGAUAUUGCACAAUGGGGGAAACCCUGAUGCAGCGACGCCGCGUGGGUGAAGAAGGGCCUCGGCGCGUAAAGCCCUGUCAGCAGGGAAGAAAAGGACGGUACCUGAAGAAGAAGCCCCGGCUAACUACGUGCCAGCAGCCGCGGGAAUACGGAGGGGGCAAGCGUUAUCCGGAUUGACUGGGGGGAAAGGGGGCGGAGACGGGGAUGCAAGCCAGGAGUGAAAGCCCGGGGCCCAACCCCGGGACUGCUCUUGGAACGGCGUGGCUGGAGUGCAGGAGGGGCAGGCGGAAUUCCUGUUGUAGCGGUGAACUGCGUAGAUAUCAGGAGGAACCCCGGUGGCGAAGGCGGCCUGCUGGACUGCACCUGCCGUUGCGGCCCGAACGCGUGGGGAGCAAACCGGAUUAGCUCCCCUAGUAGUC